GCCAGUUGUGGUGGUGCACACCUGUGAUCCCAGCAGCUGGGGAGGCUGAGGCAGGAGGCUCCCAAGUUUGAGGCCAGCUGCAGAAACUUUGUGAGACCCUGUCUCAA
rnacentral:sRNA from 1 species